AAGUCGUAACAAGGUUUCCGUAGGUGAACCUGCGGAAGGAUCAUUACCGAAUCGUCAACAAGAGCUGUUGCUGGUCUCCGUAUGGGGGCAUGUGCACGCUCUGUUACACAUCCACUCACACCUGUGCACCCUCUGUAGUUCUAUGGCCUGGGUGGGCUCUGUCCUCCUGCUGUGGUUCUACGUCUUUACACACACACUACAAUAAAGUCUCAUGGAAUGUAUGUAGCGUUUAACGCAAUGAAAUACAACUUUCAGCAACGGAUCUCUUGGCUCUCGCAUCGAUGAAGAACGCAGCGAAAUGCGAUAAGUAAUGUGAAUUGCAGAAUUCAGUGAAUCAUCGAAUCUUUGAACGCACCUUGCGCCCUUUGGCUAUUCCGAAGGGCAUGCCUGUUUGAGUAUCAUGAACACCUCAACUCUUGUGGCUUGCCAUGAUGAGCUUGGACUUUGGGGGUCUUGUUGGCCUAUGAGCCAGCUCCUCUUAAAUGAAUUAGCUUGCCGGUGUUUGGUGGCAUCACAGGUGUGAUAACUAUCUACGCUUGUGGUUUCCCACCAGGUAAUCUUCAGCAAUGGAGGUUCGCUGGAGCUUAUAAACGUCUCUCCUCAGCGAGGACAGUU
rnacentral:rRNA from 1 species